GACGAACGCUGGCGGCGUGCCUAAUACAUGCAAGUAGAACGCUGAAGGAGGAGCUUUCUUCUCUGGAUGAGUUGCGAACGGGUGAGUAACGCGUAGGUAACCUGCCUGGUAGCGGGGGAUAACUAUUGGAGACGAUAGCUAAUACCGCAUAAGAGUAGAUGUUGCAUGACAUUUACUUAAAAGGUGCAAUUGCAUCACUACCAGAUGGACCUGCGUUGUAUUAGCUAGUUGGUGAGGUAACGGCUCAACAAGGCAACGAUACAUAGCCGACCUGAGAGGGUGAACGGCCAAACUGGGAAUGAGACACGGCCCCGAAUCCUAAGGGAGGCAGCAGUAGGGAAUCUUCCGCAAUGGACGGAAGGCUGACCGAGCAAAGCCGCGUGAGUGAAGAAGGGUUUCGGAUCGUAAAGCUCUGUUGUAAGAGAAGAAAGAGUGUGAGAGUGGAAAGUUCACACUGUGACGGUAUCUUAUCAGAAAGGGACGGCUAACUACGUG
rnacentral:rRNA from 1 species